GCCCUGUGGUUGCUGGAGACUAUUGUUCAGGUAUGACUGUCCAGUGGAUACAGUGGGCUAGAGCAAUCCUGUGAUUUAUGCAUGACUGCUGUUUCUCCUCAGCAGCUGCCAUAGCCCGAUCAUUGGUACAUGG
ensembl:snoRNA